rnacentral:rRNA from 1 species
UUGGCGGCCUUAGCGCGGUGGUCCCACCUGACCCCAUGCCGAACUCAGAAGUGAAACGCCGUAGCGCCGAUGGUAGUGUGGGGUCUCCCCAUGCGAGAGUAGGGAACUGCCAGGC